UCCAGUGCUCUUUUUGUCAUUGGAAGGCAAUAUAGUCACAGCUUCCGGGAAUUUAGAUACUGACUUCUUUGGCGGGACCAUUAUUCCGUCUACCACACAAUGUAAUCGUUUCAAAACACACACAUCCAACCAUGUUACUCCUCUGCCUAAGGCCCUGGUGUGGUGCUCUCCUCAGAGGAUAAGGACCUCCUGUGGCUGGAAGUGCCAUGCAGGGCCACACCCCUCCUCCCCUCCUUCCUCUUCCCAUCUCCCCACUCUGCCUCUGGCCUGCGGGCUGUGAUCCAGCCUUUGCACAUGGUCUGCUUUCUACGAAGGAUGCUUCUCCUUCUCCCACUCCAUCCCAGGUUCCUGAGCUCCCUAAGAUGCUCUCACUGGGACCCGUGCCGUUCUGCUAUCGUAGCUACUACAGGCUAACAUCCUCGCUUUUACUUAGGUGAUCGUAUGCCUCUCCCAUGUGAGUAAGUAACCCUUACAGUCAGGGGUCAUGUCUAUCUUCGUUCCAUCAGUGCAUCUCAGUACGGAGUCUGCUUGUGGCGAAUGGUUAGUAAGCACUUGGAAAUGAAUGAAUAAGCGAAUGAAUAUUAGCAUCAUGGUCAUCACCCUCUAUCCCCUUUACCCUGCUUUUUUCUUCUGUACAACAUUUAUCAUCUCCUCUAUUGUGGCUUCCCUCCACCAGAAUGGAAGCUCUGUGAGAGCAGGGACUUGUCUUUUGCGUUCAUGCCGUUGUUCCCAGGUCCUAGAGCAGCGUCUGCUCUAUAACGGGCUUUUGAUAAAUAUUCAGGGGAUGGAUGAUCUGGGGAUGUUCAGAAUCUGUCCCAGAGUUUUCUUAUUUGACCCUUCUUUGAAAUCAGAUGGCGGUAGGCCCUGGACUUCCCUGCACUGCAGGCAGUGAUGAGGCUGGGCAGCAGAGAAAGGAGAAAAUGGACUCCCUCCUCCUGUAGACAAGAAUGCCAGCUACCAGCCAUGGGUGAGCUUCCAGCUUGACCAGANNNNNNNNNNNNNNNNNNNNNNNNNNNNNNNNNNNNNNNNNNNNNNNNNNNNNNNNNNNNNNNNNNNNNNNNNNNNNNNNNNNNNNNNNNNNNNNNNNNCAGCUUGACCAGAAUUUUUCUCUUAUUUGUUCCACGUUAUUUGUUGUUGUUGUUGUUAUACAGGAUUGGUGUAGACCAUACUUGUUUGAUUUUGAGGUCGUUUGUUGAUUUUCAUAGUUUGUUUAUAAAAACAGAAAAGCAAUAGAAGUGAAACCGGAAAUAUUACUGGAAUGUUUCUGAGGGAAUGGAGGGCCAGGUGGUCAUCCUCUGCACUGGGAGUGUGGUAUCCCUUCACUUAUGCUCCUUGGGCCUGUCCCUUUUGCCAUCCUAGGAGAUGGUACCCACCCAGGCAGUCCCUUUAAUUCAAGUGUGUGGUAAGUCGGAAAUACGAGGUGUUCUUUGCAUGGACUUUGUGGUCCUUCUUGCCGUUGCUCACUGGGAAGACUGUUCCUGUGCUGCUGGAGAGACACCCAUGGCCAGCAAGGCCCAGGGUUUCUUUCUACUCACCCUGACCGAGUUGCCCCCACAGAGGGCUUCUUCUCCUGAUCUCCCCCGAUCCCGCAUUGGGUAAUUUCACAGCUCUAGUUUAUCUGUCCUAAAACCACCAUUAGCGUUGUAAUCUGAGCAGUUUGAGUAGAGAUUGUUUCUGUUCUGUUUUAACCCCAUUUGUGAGAUUUGUGCUCAGCAGGCAGUAAUUCCAAGUUUUCUAUCUGGUAAUAAGAAUACUUUUUGUCCUUAAUGCUAAGGACAACUACACCACUUCUUGGCAUUCUGAUGGGGUCUAGCAAAGGCCUUCCUUGAUUUUCAGCGUCUGCUAGGUAUGGUGGUGUCCUUCCCUUAGCUACGACCCCUUUAGGGCCCUGCCCAGCAAGAAUUCUGGGAGAUCUUCCCUCUCAGUGUCACACGUCUUUGCGAGGAACUUGAUGUUCCCUCGACCUUCACCCCAAUCUGCGCCAGCUUUGCCUCAAGCCUCUAUGUGUUAGGCACUAUGCCCCACGGUUUACAUCUUUUUCAGUCUCCUUGCAAACUUGGUCAAAUAAGUGAUACAAUUCAUUUGUUUCAAAUAUGGAAGCCAAGACUCAGAGAUUAGAUUACUUUCAGAGCUAAAAUGUAGCAAGGCAGAGUGGCAGCCCAAGGUCUUUGAAGCUCUUGCCUGUUAUCAGAAACUUAGGCUGCGCCUUCCCUGAUAGCUCAGUGAUAAAGAAUUCGCCUGCCAAUGAAGCAGAUGUGGGUUCUAUCCCUGAUCUGGGACGAGCCCAUAUGCAGCAGAGCAACUCAGCCCAUGCACCACACUCCUGAGCCUGUGCGCCGCAGCUGCUGAAGCCCUGGAGAGUAGCCCCUGCUCGCUGCAACUAGAGAAGAGCCCACACAGCACCGAAGACCCAGGACAGACCCCCCAAAAUAAAUAAAAUUAUUCUUUUCUAAAGUUAGACUGGCCGCCUACAGGUAGAAGAUGAAUUAUAUUUGCAUACACGUGUCUGUAAUACACUUCUGUUUCCAUAUUUUAUUUGACCUGAACUGUUGGCACACACUGGUAAAAUCUGCCUUUAUUACUGUUGGCCUUACGUGCAUUAUUAUGUGUGCCAGUUGAUGCAGGGUAGUUCAGUAGUUUAUCUGAAGAACCUUAACCUCCAUAAAUUGGAAAGUGUGAUUUCAGGAAUCUGAAGUCUUCCUCUGCACCUGCGAGGUUUUGUGACCUGUUUGAGGAGGAACAAACUGACAAACUCCAAGCGUAAAUCUGUCUCAGCCUAGUUCUAGUAAAACUGACACAACCUCAGUCUGAAUUGUUGUCAAGAUCAGCUGUUUUAUAAACCAGAGUCACUAAUAAGUACCUGCUGAUAUCUGAAUGUUUUAAAAUAUUACAGUUAAAACUGUGGUCAGUGAAAGAAAAGCUGUCCUUUUUCCCAUGGGACUGCUUUAGGGCACUUAUUCUCAGGCCACUCAGGACACCCUUGAGGGCACAUGAAUUCUGGAUGUUUCAAACUGAUAGACUUGUACAGGAGUCUCAGAAAUCAUGGGCACUAGCUUGAGGUUGUGGAGUACUUUUUCUGUGUCCUCUUUUUAAAAAAAAUUUUACUGAAGUAUAGUUGAUUAAAAAUGUUGUGUUAGUUUCUUCUGUACAGCAAAAUGGGUUAUACAUAGAUAUAUCCAGUUAUACAUAUCUAUAUUAUUUUUCAUCUUCUUUUCCAUUUAUGGUUUAUCAUGGGAUAUUGAAUAUAGUUUCCUGUGCUAUAUGGUAGGCCCUUGUUAUUUGUGUAUUCUGUGUAUAUUAAUAAUCGUUUGCAUCUGCUAAUCCCAAUUCCCAGUCCUUCCCUUACCAGUGCCCUGCCCCCUUGGCAGCCACAGUCUGUUCCCUAUAUCUGUGAGUCUUUCUGCUCCAUAGAUAUGUUCAUUUGUGUUGUAUUUUAGAAUCCGCAUNNNNNNNNNNNNNNNNNNNNNNNNNNNNNNNNNNNNNNNNNNNNNNNNNNNNNNNNNNNNNNNNNNNNNNNNNNNNNNNNNNNNNNNNNNNNNNNNNNNAUGUUCAUUUGUGUUGUAUUUUAGAAUCCGCAUGUAAAUGAUACUGUAUAUUAUUUGUCCUUCUCUUUCUGACUUAUUUCACUUAGUAUGAUAAUCUCUACGUUUAUCCACGUUGUUGCAAACAGCAUUAUUUUAUUCUUUAUGACUAAUACUCCAUUGUAUAUACAUGGUACAUCUUCUUUGUCCAUCCUAAUGUCAGUGGACAGUUAGGUCGUUUUCACGUCUUGGCUAUUGUGAAUAGUGCUGCUAUGAACAUAGGGGUGCGUGUAUUGUUUUGAAUUACACUUUCGUCUGGAUAUAUGCCAAGGAAAGGAAUUGCUGGAUCAUGUGACAAUUCUAUUUUUAGUUUUUAGAGAAACCCGCAUACUAUUUUCCAUAGUGUUUGCACUAAUUUACAUUCCCACCAACAGAUCGGAGGGUUCCCUUUUCUCUACACCCUCUCCAGCAUUUGUUAUUUGUAGAUAUUUUUAAUGAUGGCCAUUCUGACCAGUGUACCUCAUUGUAGUUUUGAUUUAUAUUUGUCU
rnacentral:lncRNA from 1 species